CCUGGGGAGAAAUUGGGAAAUAAUGGGGUUAGGAGGGUGAAAAUUGGGAGAAAUUUGGGGUCAAAAGGUGAAAAUUGGAAGAAAUUGGGAGAUAUUUGGGUUAGGAGGGUGAAAAUUGGGAGAAGUUCGGGUUAGGAGGGUCAACAUUGAGAGAAAUUGGGGUUAGAAGGGUCAACAUUGGGAGAAAUUGAGGAGAAAUUGGGAAAUAAUGGGGUUAGGAGGGUGAAAAUUGGGAGAAAUUGGGGUUAGAAGGGUCAACAUUGGGAGAAAUUGAGGAGAAAUUGGGAAAUAAUGGGGUUAGGAGGGUGAAAAUUGGGAGAAAUUGGGGUUAGAAGGGUCAACAUUGAGAGAAAGUGGGGAGAAAUUGGGAAAUAAUGGGGUUAGGAGGGUCAACAUUGGGAGAAAUUGGGGUUAGAAGGGUCAACAUUGGGAGAAAUUGAGGAGAAAUUGGGAAAUAAUGGGGUUAGGAGGGUCAACAUUGGGAGAAAUUGGGGAGAAAUUGGGAAAUAAUGGGGUUAGGAGGGUGAAAAUUGGGAGAAAUUUGGGGUCAAAAGGUGAAAAUUGGAAGAAAUUGGGAGAUAUUUGGGUUAGGAGGGUGAAAAUUGGGAGAAGUUCGGGUUAGGAGGGUCAACAUUGAGAGAAAUUGGGGUUAGAAGGGUCAACAUUGGGAGAAAUUGAGGAGAAAUUGGGAAAUAAUGGGGUUAGGAGGGUGAAAAUUGGGAGAAAUUUGGGUUAGAAGGGUCAACAUUGGGAGAAAUUUGGGUUAGGAAGAUGAAAAUUGAGAGAAAUUGUGGAGAAAUUGGGAAAUAAUGGGGUUAGGAGGGUCAACAUUGGGAGAAAUUUGGGUUAGGAGGAUGAAAAUCGGGAGAAAUUGGGAGAUAUUGGGAAAUAUUUGGGUUAGAAGGGUGAAAAUUGGGAGAAAUUUGGGUUAGAAGGGUCAACAUUGGGAGAAAUUGAGGAGAAAUUGGGAAAUAAUGGGGUUAGGAGGGUGAAAAUUGGGAGAAAUUUGGGUUAGAAGGGUCAACAUUGGGAGAAAUUUGGGUUUGCAGGGUCAACAUUGAGAGAAAUUGAGGAGAAAUUGGGAAAUAAUGGGGUUAGGAGGGUGAAAAUUGGGAGAAAUUUGGGUUAGAAGGGUCAACAUUGGGAGAAAUUUGGGGUUAGAAGGGUCAACAUUGAGAGAAAUUGGGAGAUAUUAGGAUUAGGAGGGUGAAAAUUGGGAGAAAUUUGGGGUCAAAAGGUGAAAAUUGGAAGAAAUUGGGAGAUAUUUGGGUUAGGAGGGUGAAAAUUGGGAGAAAUUUGGGUUAGGAGGGUCAACAUUGAGAGAAAUUGGGGUUAGAAGGGUCAACAUUGGAAGAAAUUGGGGAGAAAUUGGGAAAUAAUGGGGUUAGGAGGGUCAACAUUGGGAGAAAUUGGAGUUAGAAGGGUGAAAAUUGGGAGAAGUUUGGGUUAGGAGGAUGAAAAUUGGAAGAAAUUGGUAGAAAUUUGGGUUAGAAGGGUGAAAAUCGGGAGAAAUUUGCGUUAGGGGGGUCAACAUUGGGAGAAAUUU
rnacentral:lncRNA from 12 species